CAUCACUACGUACACCUUCAACACGCACAAGGCCCAGCACACGUUCUGCAAGACCUGCGGCGUGCAGAGCUUUUAUACGCCUCGCUCCAACCCCGACGGCUACGGAAUCGCUCCCCACUGCCUGGACGAAGGCAGCGUGCGCAGCAUCGUCAUCGAGGAAUUCAACGGGAAUGAGUGGGAGAAGGCGAUAAAGGAACACAAGACCAUUCAGAGCAAGUCCAAAGAGUGACCCCUUCUCCUCCUGCCUCCGCUAUGCCCGGUCCAUGAGAAUGAGGCACCAAGGGACGAGGCAACUUGGCCCACCCACGGAACCUGCCGUGACAUGUUCCUGGGAGCCCACGGGCUUUCUCCAGUUAUGUCUAACGCAGGACCGAUCCAAGCAGCUCACUUUUCAUACCGAGAGGCAGCCUGACACGACUGGUCCUAGAGGCUAGUGUUCUUUCUUGGACCAAGCAGCCCAUGCCCGAGGCCUUGGGCUGCAUGGUAUCCCCCCCUCAGCCCAAUCUGUGGUCCAGAUCAUUUCACGUCCUCCCCUCCCCCCCGACUUUCAUGUGAGCUUUUAGGGACAUGAGCCUCCUUUGGUUUUUAUUAAAAAUAAUUAUUACUGUGGUUCCUCA